UACAGAGGUGGCAAGCGUUGUUCGGAAUUACUGGGCGUAAGGGGCGCGUAGGCGGCCUUCUAAGUCGAACGUGAAAUCCCCGGGCUCAACCCGGGAACUGCGUCCGAUACUGGAAGGCUUGAAUCCGGGAGAGGGAUGCGGAAUUCCAGGUGUAGCGGUGAAAUGCGUAGAUAUCUGGAGGAACACCGGUGGCGAAGGCGGCAUCCUGGACCGGCAUUGACGCUGAGGCGCGAAAGCCAGGGGAGCAAACGGG
rnacentral:rRNA from 1 species